CCUUUUGUCUGUGUGCCACUGUCUACUGCUCUCCAUGUUGCUUGCUACUGCUCCGUUCUUCGUGCUGUUGUUGUUGUUGUUCUUCUCCUGGUUUU